rnacentral:lncRNA from 1 species
AGUGUUCCUCGCGGGGGGUUAGGCAGCUCGCCUUCCCUGUGUCUUUCACAGAACGACGCUGCUCAUAACAAAGGCGGGACAAAAGUAGUGGGGUGAUGGGAGAGCAUUAACGAGCUUGACAGGGCAACACUCAUGAACUAAAGCGGAUUUUUUUUUACCCCAUUUUAAAACACAUUUUCCUUCGUCUAACACCAUUUUAUUUUUAUUUUCUUUUUCGUAAGUGGAAAGUAAAGCGGAACGUGAAUGAGCGCCGGAGCACAUCUUAUAAAAAAAUAGUCCGCACAACAGUGGAAACGAUGACAGAUUCACACUGACACAUCAGAGCUGUCCUCUGAUUAGCGGGGACUAAAUUAAGAAGUAUUUUUCAUAAACAGCCGUCAUGUCUGAUCAGGAACUUUCUGAGUCUCCUUCGCCCCUCAAGCGUGAGACCAAAUCCAAACCAGAGAUCCCACCAAAGCCUUCCUCCACGGCAGACAGCAACUCAAGUUUGGACAUUUCUGGAGGAAAGGUGAAGAAUAUUGUAAGCAAGCUGAGCAAGCAAGAGCUAAAUGGAUUGGUUAACGGAUCUGCGGACAUCACACCACCUAAAGAGGCUAAGAUGCCACCAAAAACAAUGCCCAAACCAGACCGGAAAAGCAUCCAGCUGCAGCCGAGCGCAGAGCAGACGCCGCCGCUGCCCCUGAAGAGGAGCGUGUUCGCCAGGAAGCAGAUGGAGAACGAGAGAGCAGAGGACGCCGAUGACACAGAUGGAGGUCGACCAGCGCCUGAAGGAAAGGAGGUGGAGGACCCGACUGGAGGAGAUGAAGUGGAGGCGGAGCAGGGUCAGCACGCCGCGCCCCGUACCCGCUGCGAGGCGGACUGCAGCUGCGUUUGCCACCUGCAGCGGCCCGGCAUGAGGCUGGUGUGGGUGCCGGUGGACGAGCAGGAAGAUGAAGGGGUGAAGGAGGAGCAGGCGGGUGGAGUCAGAGGAGAAAAGCAGACGGACGGCGAGGUGGAGAGCAGGACUUGUGGGGUCGACGGCGAUGUGAAACCGGAGAAAGCUAAAUUCCAACAGUCUUUAAACGCUUUACUCGCCGAGGCCCCCAGAAAGUUGUCAGACUCCGCCCCCCCCGCCGUUCAUCUGGAUCAUCCUCAGCCAGAACCCGCCGAGGAUGACGAGGACAAUAUUUAUGAGUCGACGCUCCCCGUGUUUAGCUCCGCCCUUAAAAAACCGGACAAACUCAGCGUCCCCGACAUCAAAGUACGCACGGCGGCUCGCCAGAACAAACUGCCCAACAGCUCCCUGUCGGACACACCCAACGGCGAGAACCCCGACAUUCCACCCGACAUCCCCCCCAGAGUUCCCAUCCCAUCAACGCCCAUCCCCGCCGUGGCAAUAGACAGAUGCACCCCCGUGCGCCCCUCCUCCCCCAGCCUCCCUGGCGCCAGGGGGCUGAGCCCGCAGCGAGGCGUCGCCCUGCCCUCAAGCAACACCCUGCAGCCCGUCAGAGUGGCCCCCCCACCGCCCAGGACAGACGACAGGCGGCACAGCUCCGCUUCAAUGCACUCCCCCUCACUGAACAAAGGUCAGUGCUUUUCAAAUCCACGAGUUCCGAUUAUUUUACGAGAAAAUCUGACGAUUCUUCGUUUUCAUCUACAGAAGAGGAGAGCAG